rnacentral:pre_miRNA from 1 species
AGUUACUCCCUCCUUCCCAUUUUAAGUGUGAUCAUCAUCCGUCUUAUUUAAAAUAUUUUUAUGAUUAGUAUUUUUAUUAUUGUUAGAUGAUAAAACCUGAAUAGUAAUAUGUGUGACUUAUUUUUUUUCAUAAAUCUUUUAAAUAAUACGGACGAUCAAAGGUUGGACACAGAAACUCACAAAUGCACUUAAA